CUGGUUGAUGGCCGGUAGUCAUAUGCUUGUCUCAAAGAUUAAGCCAUGCAUGUCUAAGUAUAAGCCUAGGCUAAAGCGAAACUGCGUACGGCUCAUUAAAUCAGAAAUACUACAUUCGGCUGGUCAAACAAUGGAUACCUGUGGUAAUUCUAGAGCUAAUACAUGCACCGGGUCGGAAACGGCCUAAUUCUCGGGGUUAGCACCAACGGGGCAACCCACCCAGGUGAUUCACUGAGACUGUUUACCGCACAACCUUGCGUUGGCGGACGGACGAGUUAGUUUCUGCUCUAUCAACUAUCGAUGGUAGUGUAUCGUACUACCACGGUUUUAACGGGUCACGGGGAACUAGGGUUCGGUUCCGGAGAGGGAGCCUGAGAGACGGCUACCACUUCCAAGGAAGGCAGCAGGCGCGCAAAUUACCCAAUGAUAAUUCAUCGAGGUAGUGACAAUAAAUACCAGCCCUGGCUACUUACUGUAGCCAGGAAUUGGAAUGAACACGGUUCAAAUCUCCUAGUAAGGAUCAAUUGGAGGGCAAGUCUGGU
rnacentral:rRNA from 1 species